AAUAAGAUAAGCUAAAUAUAAGCUAGUGGGCUCAUACCCCGAAAAUGAACAUAGUUUCUCUUAUUA
rnacentral:tRNA from 1 species